AUUGAACGCUGGCGGCAGGCCUAACACAUGCAAGUCGAACGAGUGGCGGACGGGUGAGUAAUGUCUGGGAAACUGCCCGAUGGAGGGGGAUAACUACUGGAAACGGUAGCUGAUACCGCAUACCUUCGGAUGUGCCCCGAUGGGAUUAGCUAGUAGGUGGGGUAACGGCUCACCUAGGCGCCGAUCCCUAGCUGGUCUGAGAGGAUGACCAGCAACACGGGAACGGAGACACGGGGCAGACUCCUACGUGAGGCAGCAGUGGGGAAUAUGGUACAAGGGGAGCAAGCCUGAUGCAGCCAUCCCGCGUGUAUGAAGAAGGCCUUCGGGUUGUAAAGUACUUUCAGCGAGGAGGCGUGACUCGCAGAAGAAGCAACGGCUAACUCCGUGCCAGCAGCCGCGGUAAUUC
rnacentral:rRNA from 1 species